rnacentral:rRNA from 1 species
CCUACGGGAGGCAGCAGUGGGGAAUAUUGCACAAUGGGCGGAAGCCUGAUGCAGCGACGCCGCGUGAGGGACGAAGGCCUUCGGGUUGUAAACCUCUUUCAGCAGGGACGAAGCGUGAGUGACGGUACCUGCAGAAGAAGCACCGGCUAACUACGUGCCAGCAGCCGCGGUAAUACGUAGGGUGCGAGCGUUGUCCGGAAUUACUGGGCGUAAAGAGUUCGUAGGCGGUUUGUCGCGUCGUUUGUGAAAACCCGGGGCUCAACUUCGGGCUUGCAGGCGAUACGGGCAGACUUGAGUGUUUCAGGGGAGACUGGAAUUCCUGGUGUAGCGGUGAAAUGCGCAGAUAUCAGGAGGAACACCGGUGGCGAAGGCGGGUCUCUGGGAAACAACUGACGCUGAGGAACGAAAGCGUGGGUAGCAAACAGGAUUAGAUACCCUGGUAGUCCACGCCGUAAACGGUGGGCGCUAGGUGUGGGUUCCUUCCAACGGGGACGUCUGUGUCGUACGUCGUACGACAUAGUACGCCCGCCCGUCGGGUACGGUACGGCCGGCCGACGGACGUAACGUACGAAACGAAGUAGACGGCGNGUAAGACGUGCGACGACGACGACGAGGGAGGAGG